UCACCUUGGGUUCCCUUGAAGGGAAGGAUACAGAGUCCAGCCAGUGCUCAUUCCUGUUGGUGGUCUUCUCCAGGAGCCUAAAGCAGUGGUUCUCAAACUUGAGCACUGGCUUUGUUUGAGAGCUUCUCAAGUUUCCAGAUGAUGCUGAUGCUGCUGGUCCAGGGACCAGAAUUUGAGAAGCACUGACCAAGAGGAUGAAUGAUGGAGUACGCUUUGCAGCAGAGACCAACAGCAGCCACCCGGACUCAGUUGACUUUCCACUUAUUCUGGCUUGUUUAUUCUCCAUAUGCUCCCCCUCAUCAUUGAAGUAUCCUGGAUCAUUCAUUUAUGGAGGGAACCACAUUUUUACCUUAUAGGCUGGAGCUCUCUGUGGGAGAGUGAUGGGUUUUAUAAUUUAUCAACAAUGAGGAGCUCACUAUUUCAUCCCCAUGGCUGUUUAGAAUGCUUGAGAGAACACAGAAGCUCCCUGAGAUGCGGCCCUUUUUUGUACUGGAUCUCCAACACUGGAAGCAAAAGGAAGUCCCAAACAGAAAUCCUAUGCAGUGCUGAAUCUACAGUGGCUCUGAGAACUUUUAACUAAUGGGCACUUGUAAAUCUCACAACAUUUCCUACUGGCGUGAAUGCCCUGGGUAAAAUGCUCAUUAAACUGUCAGCCAGCA